GGUAUUGAUUGGUGCUUGCAUCAUGAUUUACAUUUGAGUGAGUGGCGAACUGGUGAGUAACACGUGGGAAACCUGCCCAGAAGCGGGGGAUAACACCUGGAAACAGAUGCUAAUACCGCAUAACAACUUGGACCGCAUGGUCCGAGUUUGAAAGAUGGCUUCGGCUAUCACUUUUGGAUGGUCCCGCGGCGUAUUAGCUAGAUGGUGAGGUAACGGCUCACCAUGGCAAUGAUACGUAGCCGACCUGAGAGGGUAAUCGGCCACAUUGGGACUGAGACACGGCCCAAACUCCUACGGGAGGCAGCAGUAGGGAAUCUUCCACAAUGGACGAAAGUCUGAUGGAGCAACGCCGCGUGAGUGAAGAAGGGUUUCGGCUCGUAAAACUCUGUUGUUAAAGAAGAACAUAUCUGAGAGUAACUGUUCAGGUAUUGACGGUAUUUAACCAGAAAGCCACGGCUAACUACGUGCCAGCAGCCGCGGUAAUACGUAGGUGGCAAGCGUUGUCCGGAUUUAUUGGGCGUAAAGCGAGCGCAGGCGGUUUUUUAAGUCUGAUGUGAAAGCCUUCGGCUCAACCGAAGAAGUGCAUCGGAAACUGGGAAACUUGAGUGCAGAAGAGGACAGUGGAACUCCAUGUGUAGCGGUGAAAUGCGUAGAUAUAUGGAAGAACACCAGUGGCGAAGGCGGCUGUCUGGUCUGUAACUGACGCUGAGGCUCGAAAGUAUGGGUAGCAAACAGGAUUAGAUACCCUGGUAGUCCAUACCGUAAACGAUGAAUGCUAAGUGUUGGAGGGUUUCCGCCCUUCAGUGCUGCAGCUAACGCAUUAAGCAUUCCGCCUGGGGAGUACGGCCGCAAGGCUGAAACUCAAAGGAAUUGACGGGGGCCCGCACAAGCGGUGGAGCAUGUGGUUUAAUUCGAAGCUACGCGAAGAACCUUACCAGGUCUUGACAUACUAUGCAAAUCUAAGAGAUUAGACGUUCCCUUCGGGGACAUGGAUACAGGUGGUGCAUGGUUGUCGUCAGCUCGUGUCGUGAGAUGUUGGGUUAAGUCCCGCAACGAGCGCAACCCUUAUUAUCAGUUGCCAGCAUUAAGUUGGGCACUCUGGUGAGACUGCCGGUGACAAACCGGAGGAAGGUGGGGAUGACGUCAAAUCAUCAUGCCCCUUAUGACCUGGGCUACACACGUGCUACAAUGGAUGGUACAACGAGUUGCGAACUCGCGAGAGUAAGCUAAUCUCUUAAAGCCAUUCUCAGUUCGGAUUGUAGGCUGCAACUCGCCUACAUGAAGUCGGAAUCGCUAGUAAUCGCGGAUCAGCAUGCCGCGGUGAAUACGUUCCCGGGCCUUGUACACACCGCCCGUCACACCAUGAGAGUUUGUAACACCCAAA
rnacentral:rRNA from 1 species